rnacentral:rRNA from 1 species
CCAACUUUUACGGGAGGCAGCAGUGAGGAAUAUUGGUCAAUGGACGAGAGUCUGAACCAGCCAAGUAGCGUGAAGGAUGACUGCCUAUGGGUUGUAAACUUCUUUUAUAUGGGAAUAAGUGGAGUAUGUAUACUCUUUUGUAUGUACCAUAUGAAUAAGGAUCGGCUAACUCCGUGCCAGCAGCCGCGGUAAUACGGAGGAUCCGAGCGUUAUCCGGAUUUAUUGGGUUUAAAGGGAGCGUAGGCGGAUGCUUAAGUCAGUUGUGAAAGUUUGCGGCUCAACCGUAAAAUUGCAGUUGAAACUGGGUGUCUUGAGUGCAGUAUAGGCAGGCGGAAUUCGUGGUGUAGCGGUGAAAUGCUUAGAUAUCACGAAGAACUCCGAUUGCGAAGGCAGCUUGCUGGAGUGUCACUGACGCUGA